GGAUACGCUACGGCAGGCUAAUACACGCAGUCUUAACGGUGUCUUCGGACAUAGUGGCGCACGGGUUGCGUAACACGUAUGCAACCUACCUAUACAUUGGGGGAUAGCCUUUCGAAAGGGAGAUUAAUACCGCAUAAGACAGUAGCUGGGCAUCCAAGCAGCUGUUAACAGAUUUAUCGAUGUAAGCUGGGCAUGCGUCCAAUUAGCUACUUGCGUGAAGUAAUGGCUCACCAAAGCAAUCGAUUGGUAAGGGAACUGAGAAGUCAAUCCCCCACACUGGCACUGAGAUACGGGCCAGACUCCUACGGGAGAGCAACAGUAAGGAAUAUUGGGCAACUGGACCGCAAGUCUGACCCACCCAUGCCGCGUGCAGGAUGAAGGCGUUAUGCGUUGUAAACUGCUUUUAUACAGGAAGAAACGACUCUUGCGAGAGGCCAUUGACGGUACUGUAUGAAUAAGCACCGGACUAACUCCGAUGCCAACAGACCAGCGGAUAAUACGGAGCGGAUGCAAGCGUCGUCCAGGAUUUAUUGGGUUUAAAGGGUCGCACAAGUGGUUAUAUUACAGUUCCGAUGGUGACAAGAACGAGAUACGGCUCCAACGCAUUGCAAGUGACACUUGAAAACCUUGGUAGAACUUGAAGCUACAAGUAACAAGGUGCGCGCGGAAUUGAUCGUGUCAGCGGUGAAAUGCCUAGAUACUUAUCAAGAAACUCCAAUUGCCUAG
rnacentral:rRNA from 1 species